GAUGAACGCUGGCGGCGUGCCUAAUACAUGCAAGUCGAGCGAACAGACGAGGAGCUUGCUCCUCUGACGGUAUCGGCGGACGGGUGAGUAACACGUGGAUAACCUACCUAUAAGACUGGGAUAACUUCGGGAAACCGGAGCUAAGACCGGAUAAUAUAUUGAACCGCAUGGGUCAAGAGUUGAAGACGGUUUUGCGUUGACUUAUAGAUUAAUCAGCCCCGCAUUCGCUAGUUGGUAAGGUAACUGCUUACCAAGGCAGCGACGCGUAGCCGACCCGAGAGGGUGAUCGGCCACACUGGAACUGAGACACGGCCGAGACUCCUAGAGGAGGCCGCGGUCGGGAAUCUUCCGCAAUGGGCGAGAGCCUGACGGAGGAACGCGGCGUGAGUGAUGAAGGUCUUCGGCUCGUAAAACUCUGUUAUUAGGGAAGAACAAAUGUGUAAGUAACUAUGCACGUAUUGACGGUACCUGGUCAGAAAGCCACGGCUAACUACGUG
rnacentral:rRNA from 1 species